UACAGAGGCCUCGAGCGUUGUUCGGAAUUACUGGGCGUAAAGCGAAUGUAGGUGGUGACGUAAGUCAGAUGUGAAAGCCCAGGGCUUAACCCUGGAAAUGCAUUUGAUACUGCGUUGCUAGAGUGUGAGAGAGGAAAGGGGAAUUCCUAGUGUAGGAGUGAAAUCCGUAGAUAUUAGGAGGAAUACCGAUGGCGAAGGCACCUUUCUGGUUCAUUACUGACACUGAGAUUCGACAGCGUGGGGAGCAAACAGG
rnacentral:rRNA from 1 species